rnacentral:rRNA from 1 species
GACGAACGCUGGCGGCGUGCUUAACACAUGCAAGUCGAACGGAAAGGCCCUGCUUUUGUGGGGUGCUCGAGUGGCGAACGGGUGAGUAACACGUGAGUAACCUGCCCUUGACUUUGGGAUAACUUCAGGAAACUGGGGCUAAUACCGGAUAGGAGCUCCUGCUGCAUGGUGGGGGUUGGAAAGUUUCGGCGGUUGGGGAUGGACUCGCGGCUUAUCAGCUUGUUGGUGGGGUAGUGGCUUACCAAGGCUUUGACGGGUAGCCGGCCUGAGAGGGUGACCGGCCACAUUGGGACUGAGAUACGGCCCAGACUCCGACGGGAGGCAGCAGUGGGGAAUAGUGCACAAUGGGCGGAAGCCUGAUGCAGCAACGCCGCGUGCAGGAUGACGGCCUUCGGGUUGUAAACCGCUUUCGCCUGUGACGAAGCGUGAGUGACGGUAAUGGGUAAAGAAGCACCGGCUAACUACGUG